rnacentral:rRNA from 1 species
GACGAACCGUGCGAACGUUGUUCGGAAUCACUGGGCUUAAAGGGCGCGUAGGCGGGCGGUCAAGUCAGAGGUGAAAUCCCACGGCUCAACCGUGGAAGUGCCCCUGAUACUGAUCGCCUCGAGGGAGGUAGGGGCGUGCGGAACUUCCGGUGGAGCGGUGAAAUGCGUAGAUACUCGGAAGGAACACCGAUGGCGAAAGCAGCGCGCUGGACCUUUACUGACGCUGAGGCGCGAAAGCCAGGGGAGCAAACGGG